GAUGAACGCUGGCGGCGUGCCUAAUACAUGCAAGUCGAGCGAACGGACGAGAAGCUUGCUUCUCUGAUGUUAGCGGCGGACGGGUGAGUAACACGUGGAUAACCUACCUAUAAGACUGGGAUAACUUCGGGAAACCGGAGCUAAUACCGGAUAAUAUUUUGAACCGCAUGGUUCAAAAGUGAAAGACGGUCUUGCUGUCACUUAUAGAUGGAUCCGCGCUACAUUAGCUAGUUGGUAAGGUAACGGCUUACCAAGGCAACGAUGCAUAGCCGACCUGAGAGGGUGAUCGGCCACACUGGAACUGAGACACGGUCCAGACUCCUACGGGAGGCAGCAGUAGGGAAUCUUCCGCAAUGGGCGAAAGCCUGACGGAGCAACGCCGCGUGAGUGAUGAAGGUCUUCGGAUCGUAAAACUCUGUUAUUAGGGAAGAACAUAUGUGUAAGUAACUGUGCACAUCUUGACGGUACCCAAUCAGAAAGCCACGGCUAACUACGUG
rnacentral:rRNA from 1 species